rnacentral:lncRNA from 1 species
UGGCGUGAUCUCGGCUCACUGCAACCUCCACCUCCUGGGUUCAAGCAAUUCUCCCGCCUCAGCCUCCAGAGUAGCUGGGGUUACAGGCGUGCACCACCAUGCCCGGCUAAUUUUUGUGUUUUUAGUAGAGACGGGGUUUCACCAUAAGCCAGGCUGGUCUCAAACUCCUGACCUCGUGAUUCACCCGCCUUGGCCUCCCAAAGUGCUGGGAUUACAGGUGUGAGCAACUGUGCCCGGCCU